rnacentral:rRNA from 1 species
GUUAGGAAUAUUGGACAAUGGACGCAAGUCUGAUCCAGCCAUGCCGCGUGAGUGAUGAAGGCCUUCGGGUUGUAAAGCUCUUUAGCCGAUGAUUAUAAUGACUGUAGUCGGAAAAUAAGCCCCGGCUAACUUCGUGCCAGCAGCCGCGGUAAUACGAAGGGGGCGAGCGUUAUUCGGAAUCACUGGGCGUAAAGCGUGCGUAGGCGGUUUUGUAAGUUGGGAGUGAAAGCCCAGGGCUCAACCCUGGAAUUGCUCUCAAAACUACAAGACUUGAAUUCGGGAGAGGAUAGCGGAAUUGUCAGUGUAGCAGUGAAAUGCGUAGAUAUUGACAGGAACACCAGUGGCGUAAGCGGCUAUCUGGACCGACAUUGACGCUGAGGCACGAAAGCGUGGGGAUCAAACAGGAUUAGAUACCCCAGUAGUCC